ensembl:lincRNA
AUGGGAAGUGAGGAGGCGGCUCGCGCCGAGCCCCGGGCUCCCCGCGCUGCUACCUUCGGGUUGGAAGGGGGAGGCGGGUCGGGGGAGGGCAGGGGAACGGAAGGGGUACCCGGGGAGCAUCCUAAGGGAACCUCUUCGCGUAAAAGGGCGGCCGCUGAAGUGGCUCUGAGAACAAAGGAGUUAACACUCGGACUCCACAGCCUGCGUCCCCGCCCGGUCAGCAUCGCAGGUGUUACCCAAACUCUGACGGUCCCUUUAAGAACUCACCUGGAGUCGCGCCGUCCGAAGCUGAGCCGCCCUCGGCCAGCGCUGCAGGCCCCAGCUUAUAAAUCUAUGAAGGUGUCCAGGUCCUGCCAGACUCCGCUGCAUCUUUUGCUUUCACUCCAGCAGGGUAGCAGCAUGCUGCCUGUGCCAAGGCAAUCACUAAAAGGAAAGGAUUUAAUGCUGUCAAAAAAGCUUAUGCCAGCUUAGGCUCAAGAAGAGGAACAGAGUCAAGUAUGUUGAAAGUGGACAUAUUGGUCAGACGUCCAUGAGAGCCUAGGGGGCAUUGCUUAGCAGCACACUUUUAAAGGAAUCUGAACAAACCAGCAUGUGGAAAGAAGAGAGUAACCACAGCAAUCAGGAAACAACUGUACAAUCUAGGGCCAUUUCAUUGGAAAAACAGAAGUCUCCAGGGAGCUGCAGUCAUCAAACAGGCUUAUUCUGUGUACCCAGUGGGCAAGUACAGUCAAUGGAUGAAAAUUCAACCAAUGGACAAACACAGGAAGUUUUUCCUUAACAUGAGUUGUCAGAAACUGUCCAAAAUUCCAAAGAGCUGCCUCAAGGUAGUGGUAAAUUUUUUUUUUUUUUUAAUCAGGAAGGUGCUGAAUGAAGCCAGCAAGGAUUCUGUGUCAGAGGGUGGUAGAUACCCAGGACAUAAGGUUGAACUACGUGACCUCUGAGACCACAGUUCUAAGCUGUUGAAACCUCAGUCCCUGCUGAAUACUGAAAUGGUAUUAGCACCCUUUAGUCUACAUCAAGAAUUCGUUCUACCCAGUUUUGGUGAUACCAAGACUGAUCUCUUUCUCAUAGAUAAUUCUUAACAGAAUAAAAGCUACAGGUUGAAACCAAUUCCCUUUAAAAUGUGGACAGUUGACCAUCUCCAUGAUGGGUAGUUAGGCACUGAAUUAAUGCUUUUUAAUGGAAGAGCCACCCUAAGAUUCCUGGAGUGUGGUAUAAUGGAGUACUAAAUCAGUAUAGGACUAAUAACUGCCUCCCGUGUAAACUGGUCUAUCCGGAGAGUGGUAUAGCCUCUCAUACAGUGUUCAAAGACAGAUUUAACUCACUGCAGGUCCACAGCAACAAUAAGAUAAACUCAUUAGUUAUGGUCUCCCACUUUGCAAAGGAGAGCACAGAGGAAGAAGAAACUGAGGUAACUUGGUUUAGGACACCACAGCUGGCUGGAGCCGGGCUGAACAUUAGUUCAUUGUUUCUUCGAUUAAUCUAUGCUGCUUUUUCUCUACUUGGCUCCUUUUCUAAACAAAACAAAACAAAACAAAAAACACUGGGCACAGAGUGGUGUAUAUGUGUGUGAGAGAGAGACAGAGAGAGAUAGAGAAAGACUAAGUGAAAGAGAAAAGAGAGAGGCUGAGUGAGAUUCAGAUAAAAUAAGGCACAAGUCAUGGGCUAGUCUGUUGUACAGUGUACUUAUCAUAUAUUUGAAUGCCUUUAACAAUGGAGACAGUUUUGAUGGAAAUAGGGCCUUGAAGAAAUGCAUAUCCGCACCCUGGUGGUAUGUUAUAACUAAACGGGUUGGUUUUUUGUUUCGGAGUUUUUUGGGUUUCUUUUUAAUGCAAAGGUAUAUAUUUAAAAUACCCUGUAGCUUCCUUCUCUCCUUCAUUUCAUUUCCGGAAGUAUGAGAGAGGUUUUCUGGAUGACGGGACAUCCAAACUGGAAGUGCCCUUAGAUCCCAUCAACCCCCAUCCCCAAGUUUGAGAAGCAUGUAAAGUAAGCUCCAGAAGAGCUCCCAGACAACGUCAGCACACAAUUAUCAGAGGACUUUUCCCUGAUGGCAGAAAGCUACUGACAUUUCCAGAACAAUCCAUCUUUCUUUUAGAGAGAAGGGGCUGGGGGUAAGGAGAAAUUAGUAAUCUUUUCUAGAGAUACGUUUCUAAGUUUAACCAAAUUUGCUUUUCUGCUUUUGAAGAACUUGUGGUAUUGACAGAACCGUAGGAUCCCAUAUGGAAAUCCUCAGGAUUAUACUAAAAUCUCCUUACAUGAAACAACCUCUUCACCCCACCCCCUGCCAAGAGAAUGACCAUUGUCUGUUCACAGAAGGCUUUGGCCAGGGCCCUUCAGUCAGAUUAUCCUUAUGUAGGUAGAGAACAUAAACUUGGAAACUUAAUUGGAAUUUGAAGAAAUGCUAUUAGAAUUUUAGGAAGUCAUUUGUAUUCCAUUUCUGAGAUAUGACCUGAAUAGAAUUCUGGUAAGUGGAGAAGCCAGAAGAUUCUUCAUAAUUACAUGUGGACUGUGUCCAGUGACCAAUCUCAUUUAGGAUGGAAAACUGCCACAACCUUCCAAAACAAAGACCUGUGUGCCAGUCUUUCAUUUUUGGGAAGUGACACUCACUAGGGCUGUCAUUUUCCUAUUCCUCAUGUUGUAUAACCCUAAAUUCCUUUAUUAUUUUCUUCUAUUUUACACUCACAAGAACGGUAAUGAUAAUGAAUCAUUUAAAUCUUGCUUUCUAUUUAAAUUUUCUUUAGAUUAAAUUAAUUUCUUCCCAAGACAAUUUUAUCAACUGAGAUUAAAUAUUUGUGAUUAAAGCAUCUUCUGCCUUUUAUAAAUAAAUUGGGCGGCAGUUGAAGAAACUUUUCCAAAUAUGCUUUUUCAAAAUCCUGCAAAAUUUUCCCAAGUUGGAUAUCAUUUCAACUUGCAAAUUACCACAUGAAUAAACAAAGCCAAGCUCGAAGGGAGUAGGAGACAAUGAGUCAAAAAUUUAAAAGGGGUGGGCCUUUACCAAUUACUAAUGAAGAUGAACAAAGCAAUUUAAGAAUAAGACAGAAGCAAAUAUUUAAUAAGAAAUGCUACCAUAAUAAUUUGGAGAAGCUUGGGUUCAAAAGAGCAGAAUAAAGCUGUAUCUCUAUUCUUUUUUUCUCUUGGAAAAACUCCAAAAAUAUUAGAACAAAGAGAAACUUGUUCCUCCAUCCUUAAUAAAAAGAAGAGUGGCUAGGCGUGGUGGCUCACACCUGUAAUCCCAACACUUUGGGAGCCCAAGGCAGGUGGAUUGCUUGAGGUCAGGAGUUUGAGACCAGCCUUACCAACAUGGUGAAACCCAUCUCUAUUAAAACUACAAAAAUUAGCCAGGCAUGGUGGUGCCCGUCUGUAAUCCCAGCUACUCAGGAGGCUGAGGCAGGAGAAUCGCAUGAACCUGGGAGGCAGAGGUUGCAGUGAGCUGAGAUUGUGCCACUGCACUCCAGCCUGGGUGACAGAGCAAGACUCCAUUAACAAAAAAAAAAAAAAAAGGAAUUUAGAUGCCCAGGCUCCCACAUAUUCAGACCGGUGACCAUCUUCCCUCACUCCUCCAAAAGGCAAGAAUUUGAUUUAUUGGAGAAUAAGAGAAGUUUUAGAUUUGGAACUACUAGACUCAGAGGAAGAUGGUGGUGCAUUAUAGUACAGGAAACUAAGGGAAAAUCUGCGUAUUGAACAGAGAUAACUCCCUCACACCCACCUCCUUCUUCCUGCUAGCCAUAGCUGGAGUACCCUUCAGAGAGAAAAAUGGAAUUGCCUCAGAAAGAUCAGUAGAUACUCAUAGUUGGAAGGCUUACAACGAAAGGCUAAGCCAUCAGAAAAAUGCAAAUAAAAACCACAGUGAGGUAGACUUCACACCCACAAGUAUGGCUCUGAUCAAAAAGACACAGCUGCUACCAUCAUAACAAGUGCUGCAAAGGAUGUGGAGAAAUCAGACCCCCCAUACACUGCUGCUGGGACUGUAAAAUGGUGCAUCCACUUUGGAAAACAGUCUGGGAGUUUUUUGAACACUUGAACAUGUAAUCCAUAGGAUGUGACAAUUCCACUUCUAGGUAUACACCAAAGACAACUGAAAACACGUGUCUAUACACAAAUAUUCAUUACAACAUUAUUCGUAAUAGCUAGAAAGUGGAAACAACGCAAAUACCCAUGAAUUGGUAAAUGGAAAAAUAAAAUUGGUACCCCCGUGUAACAUAAUAUUAUUCAGCAAAAUAAAGAAGUGAAGUACUGAUACAUGCUAUGACAUGAGUGAACCUUGAAAACAUUAUGCGGAGUAAAAGAAGCAAGUUACAAAAGACCACAUACUGCAAAUUCCAUUUAGAUGACUUAUCCAGAAAAGGCAAAUCUGUAGAGAGAAAAAGUAGACUAGUUGUUGCCUAGGGUUGAGGAGCAUGGGAUGGAAGGGGUUGGAAGGUGAGGGCUAAGGAAUGAGGUUUUUUUAUUUUAAUAAAAAUGUUCUAAAAUUAACAGUGGUUUUGGACUCACAGUUCUGUGAAUAUACUAACAGCCAUUGAACUGUGCAGUUUAAAUGGGUGAAUUGUAUGGUGUGUGAGUUAUAUCUCAAUAAAGCUGCUUAAAAAAAAUGUCAAGCUGGUCAUUUUAUUGCCCUUCAAGAAUGCAGACCAGGCCAGGCACGGCCUGUAAUCCCAGCACUUUUGGGAGGCUGAGGUGGGCGGAUCACCUGAGAUCAGGAGUUCGAGACCAGCCUGGCCUAUAUGGUGCAACCCCAUCUCUACUAAAAAUACAAAAAUGAGCGGGGUGUGGUGGUGGGUGCCUGUAGUCCCAGCUACUCAGGAAGCUGAGGCAGGAGAAUCACUUAAACCCAGGAGGCGGAGGUUGCAGUGAGCUGAGAUCGAGCCACUCCACUCCAGCCUGGGCGACAGAGUGAGAAUCUGUCAGAAAAAAAGAAUGCAGACCAAUCAAUGA